GUUCUCACCACUGUGGUAAUGGCAAUUGUGUGAGCAUUGUCUGCCUCUCUUUGAUUUUGUCCAUUUUCCAGUUGUUGAUUGCCAGCACUCCAAAUCAAACAUUUCUUCCUUCAAAUGCAAUUAGAAAGUCCCUCCAGAACCCCCGAAAACUUCUCAGUAAUACCUUUUAUACAGCCAGUUUGCAUCUUGAAGGUUGUUGCGAUGUUUGCAGAGGUGACCCAGAAAACAAAUAUUUCUGGUUAUUCUUAAUGACCGUAAUUCAUUUUCUACAGGCUUCCCAUUCCUCCCACCUUCGGUUGUGCUCCCAGAAGGCUCAGUCACACAGACAGGAGUCCUUCCACCUCAUUUUCCACUAUCUCCUCUGAAUUUUGCCUGUGAGAUUCUGAUGACCCCAUGGUUGUGCCACAGCUGGGAGGUACAAGUGACUUCAAUUCCUUUGGUGCAGUCAGGACAGCAAAGCUUUCAGCCCUUGGAGCGUUGUUAACUAUUUUUCCGAGCACCUCACCAGCAGCACAGCCCUUGGACUGCUCAGUGAGUGAACAUGAUCUGCCACAAAUGGCAUCUUGAGGUAGCCUGGGUGGGACAUACGCACAAGGAGAUGUGUGGGCUGAGAAUUAGAACAUAGACAAUAGUCAGGACUGCAGAAAUAGAGUAUCCUUCAAUCUCAACAAGGAAACCUUGACGUUAUAUCUCUGCUUUCAUCCAUGUUCAGACCAGAUUCUGAAUUCUCGAUGUAAAAAUAGUGGGGCAUCUCAGAAAUAAAAUACUGCAAAGGAGCUAAAGUACAAAGAAUUGUCUCCAGGUCUAUCACAGGCCUUGCAGGACGAUAAAGCUGGUAAAGAUUUCCAAGAAGAAAAACAAACAAGUGGAGAUUGCUCCCAGUUAAGUUAUAAAACCCCUUAUUUGGAGAAGCAAUAACAAAAGUAAAUACUUGUUGAGACUAGAGGAAGACAAAAUGUUACUGUGUAAGAUGUGAUAAACUGCAAAGAUCUAUGUUGUGCUUGAGCAGAGACCCACAUUUUUGAUACUGUAAAGUAUCAUUGUUGAACCUGACUAUCUAAGGGGACAGAGACUGUAGGAAGAGUCUGCACAUAGGUAGAAACUGGCUGGAGCCACAUUUUAAAUGGAAUUGAGCUUUGAAAUUGAAAGUUUUCCUAGAUUUGAAAUUGUGUUGGUCCACAAUUUAUGUUUCCCUGCAUUUUUCUUUCUGUCACUGAUGUAGAACUUUUCAGUGCUUUCCCAUCUGGAGUACGUGCAGCACCAUUAUUACAGCUUCACACUCAAUAUAGUGUCCAUUUCUCAAAGCUCCCUUUUUCCUUCAGAUGGACUUACAGAGAAAGAAUAAGCAUCUUUCCUCACUAUCAAAUUGGGAUUGCAGUUAACAAUCACUUGGCAGACGAGAGUAGGUUAUUUUAAUGAACACAUCAUUCUGAAAUAAGCUUCGCCAUCUGUUCAGUCCCCUAAUUAUAAAUGCAAACAAUAUAAUUCAUAAACGCACUAUAAAAGAGAGGGAAAGAGAAAACAGCUUCAUAUGACUUUUUGUCAGUUAUUCCAGGCAGUGAUGCAUCUGCUUACUUUAUUCCUGUUUCAGGAACAGGUAGGAAACAAUCUUUAGAUUCUGUGUUUCAUAGCAGUCACUGACCCACAGUAAAUGAUUGCCUGCAGAUGAUAAAGAUGUGAUUAAGUGCAGUAUGGUUUCUGGUUGCCGUCAUUAUUUAGCCAUGUCUAUGAUGGAAGUGUCCAUGACAGAUCACCCAGACCAUCCCAGGGGCCAGAAAUAAGCUUUGAGCAUGUAUUUCAGAACAGGAGGAACGAGCCUGUAGCACUGGAGUGCCCUCCAGGGUAACAGGAGCUGAGGGUACAGAUGACGCUGCUAUUUUCUCCUUGAAAAGAUGUCGUUGACAUUUUUGAGAACUGGGAAAAUUUCAGAAACAACCAGAAAGUUGAAAAUACUGUCAACAUAAAAUCCAAGGAUUUCUGGAAUUUGUUACUGUAACUUGUGAGUUUUUUUCAUUUUGAAAGAAGGAAAAAAAAUUAAUCUGAAAUAUGCAAAACGUCAAAAUGAAAUGUGAACAAAAUAUGUCGGUUCAUUCCCAUUUUCUGUUGAAAAAAAUGAAAGUAAUCCAAAUUAAAUGUAUUUUCAUGAAACAUUUAAUUUAAAUACAGCUGCAUCUUUAAUUUUCUAAAAGUCAGUGCAGAAUUAUCCCUUUCUCACAAUUACCAGGUUUAUAGGCUCCAUAAAACUAAAAGCUUUCUAGUAACUCUGUAAUCUGUGGGCUGGAUGACUCAUGCUCCCAGCCACUAAAGUGAACUUUCACAUUCGGACAUCAGUGGAAAAUCUUUAUAGCAGAAGAAUAUCCCCCCCAAACACCUACACAACAUAAUUCCCAGGGCAAAAGGGAGUGAGAAAUUACAAGCUCCUUCUGUCGUCUUGGUGAUAUGUAUCAACAUUGCAGAACAACAUAAUUCGAUUUCAUAUUCAAUGUGAAAAACUAGCAGUAUAUAUAAUAAUUCUAGGAUGAUGCACUCCUGUUAAUUCUCUCUGGGUUUUUCAUUUCUUCUUGUUUCUGUGACGAGCAAGGUACUCGCAAGCAAUAAGGUUUAAGAUUAGCAUAGAUCAUCCUUCUGCUACAUCUGAUUGACCUGCAAUCCAGAAGAGACCAGCACGCUGUCAAAGGUGAGCUUACUAAAGGUAGGUCUUUCACUGCACCUGCGUGUGACUACCUGUGAUCUGCUUUGUCCAAGAGAAUCCGAUUCAGAGAGAAUUUAUCUUCUAAAUCUAUGGGAAACCAAUUAACAUAAAAAGAGUGCAUGAACUGAGAAAACACAAUGAGAACUGCUCCAAACCAACUCUCUCAAAUAUCAGAUACGUUCCUUUAACUCUGUAGAGAUACAUUUAAUGCUGGUCUCAUGUGCUUUCAAGUGCAGGGCUCCCACCCAGCUGGGCUGGAGGAGGCUGGAUUUCAAAGCAGACGAACCCAGGCAUGGGCACGUUGAAGCUGUCAUUACCGCUGGCUGCUGCUGCUCGGGAACUGAGUAAGUCUGGAUGGCAGACAAGCAUCUCCAUCCCCUCCUCCUAUGAUUAUUUCUCUUCAUUGCAAGCUGACAGCCUGCUGAGCCCAUAGAGGUACGGUAUGAUUAUCUGAGUAAAGCGGCUGGGGUAGAUGAUUAGCUAAAUUGCCUGUUGGAGCUCUGGUGGAGGAACAGCUGACCACGCCUGGUUGGUGUCAGCCCUGUCCCUUUGCAGCCAGGCCCAGGAAGGUGCACUAAUGUGGCAAAGAAAAUGAAAUCCAUCCUUUGCAAUGAGCCUUACAACAGGCUCUUGCCUUUGCCUUCAUUGCCUUUUAUUCCAGUCUCAAGUUCAUCUUUUAUCUGUGUUAAACCCACCCAGUCAGUGGACUCGAUGUCUCGUGCAGCAUCAGCAACAAAGAGAAAAUAUUCAACUCUUAAAAUGUCCUAGCCUAGUUUGAAGUCUGUCUUAGUCUUACUAUUUAAUUAUUUUUUUAAAAAAUAAAGAGGACCAAAUAGCAGUGGACCAUUCCUCCUCAGUGACGAUGCAGUCCUUUGGAAAAACAUGGGUAAAAAUCUCAGAAGUACCAUCAAAAGUUCAGUUUUCCCAUUGCAGCUGAAUGGUGAAAAUCCAGAUCUCGGGGAAAUGUUUGCAUUGCUUAAUUACUUAUGUGGAUAUGACAGAAAUGUGGAUUUUAAAGUCCUUUGUAGUCAAAUGUAAAUACAAAUCUGUCUCUAUCUCAUGACAAGUGUGUAUUUUUUUCCACUCUUGAGCAGUUAUGCUGAAAAUCUUAAUUAUCUUUAAAUCAAAUAGUGCUUUUCAGACCUCGUGAGCUGGAAUUAAGCACUCAUCAUUCUUUACUAAAUUUCAGCUAGAGGUUUUAAAAACAGCUGUCUCCAUCCCACGUAAUCCAGCCCUCGGUACAUUUUGUAAGACUUCUACAUGCCUCCUCGGAUAUAAAAUUAGCAAUCAGUUCUCCAAUUAAGCAAAGUCCUUUCAUGAGAGGAACAUAGCACUGGAAAGUCAAGGAAGAAAACAAAGAAAGCAUCUAUCGGUAUGUUUGUUUCUCUCCCUUUUUCUCUGUUCCAUUACUCCUGAAGGAUGCUUCCCGCUCCUACAAGCCAGCUCUGGCUGCUGCAGCUCCAGGACAGGUUCCCAGACCAUCUCAGCCAGACACAGGCCAAGGCGUCCCUGUACAGUACCAGGAAAGUCACUUGAGCUGCACGAGGGAUGUCCUCCUCUCUAAGAGCAGAAGAGUGCAGAAAACUCUUGCUGGAUUUGACCCAAUCGGUUUGUUUCCCUGGAACUGCAAGUGCUUAUUAUAUCUUCUCUUACGUAUUUUUUUUGUUGCCAGGCUCUAUUAAUGAACUUGGUCUAAGAAAAAUUAUAGCAACCCAUUUAAGCUACUUUUAACUUCAAGAGCUAAUCCCAGCACGCUGCUCCUCUGCUCAGAAGACUCUUGUUCUGUGAAUGGAGGAAGAUCAUAUUGGUCUCUCUGGUAGAGUGCUGAACACAACUCUUCACUUGGCACAGGGAACAGAUUGGAUAGAGAUUGAUUAAUGAAGAUAACUAAUUAGAAGCCUGGCCUGAGUCAGCCAAGGCAUUUCACAUAGAUAUGCAAAGAAGUAAAGAGUUGAAUUCAACAAAAAUUAGGGUUGAAGGAACACAUUUUUGUAUGUCAUUAUCUCUGGGUACUGGCUAAAACCUUUUGCAUGAUGUUAUAAUGGCUCUUUGUUGUACUGAAUAAUAACUUCUUAAGAUGAUAAUUAUAUUCUUGAUAGACAUCAAAAGUUAAAAAUAGGAAAGGAACAUGACUACAGACACUUUAAUGCUAAACAAACAGAAAAAUGCUAAACGUGCUAAUAGAAAAAAGAUCAGCUAAGUUCUUCAAUUGAGCUAUUUUAAGACCCAGUACCCAUCAAGGCUGCAGAGGUGGCUUUACUAACAAUUCCUGUUUGAUUAUGGGCAAACCACACAAUUUCUCUGAGCUUAUUCUCAUUGUGGAUAAAACAGAGGCAAUCAGACUUCCCUUGUUAACCUUGUCUUUAUAUUUUAGCCUUUUUUUGGAGCAAACAUUGUGUCACUUCAGAAAGGAAUAGCGUCUGGUACAACUGAGCCACACUUUGAUUCAAGGCUGUGGUGCUCCAGCAGCAGCAAUUUAUCACUUACAUAAAAAUAGUUUGUUUCAAUUUUAAAAUGUCAGAAAUGCUUUCUAGGACAGAACAAUCUACAGUUGUUGGAAAGGUGUUUUAUUUAUUGAAGAACUUCUUUCUUCCACUAAAUGCUUCACGGCCUCAGAGGCUGGGAAUAUCCUGCCUCUGGGAAUAUCCUGCCUUUGUGUCACUGGCUGUAAUGAAGCUCACAGAGCGGUGAAAUUGAAACAGGGAGACGACUGAGUUUGUUUUGGACCUCCUGUUUCUCAUUGAACAUUCACAAAAAUUCCAGCCUUCCUCUGGUUCUUUUAGCAAUGCUUACAAAAGGGCUGGAGCCUCCCUACGCCGCGAUGGUCACGCUGCAGCUCUGCAGGGCUGCGCUUGUGAUGCUGAGUUGGCACCAGGACAGGACACUCCCUUUGCACGGAGCAGUACGACCAGCAGCUGUCCUCUCUUCUGCCGACCGUGUGAUACUGCAGUCAUGUUUUAAACUUCAGCAUCUCAGUUUUACCUGACAUAAUUUCCAACAAGGGGAACAGUUGAGACUGGCCAGACACUGUGCCUGAGGCUCUGAGCCACACUGAACAGGUUUAUCUUCCAUUGCCUCCAGUGGAUAUUGGUCAGAACAUCCAUCUGAUGUUUGUCGCUGUUGGCAGGAUAUUGUUAUAAUUGUAACAUGGACAUUGCUAAGAUAUGCCUGAGAUUUUUAAUAACUUUUUAAGUCAGAACAUCUAGAAAUCUUUGAGUGAGGCCUGAAAGAGGUAAGAAAUACAGGACGUGAUUCCUUGAGCCAUGUACCUUUGUGACUCUGUGUGUGUAGCUUGUUUAUCUUCCUGCUUGCCUGUUUUCUAGGUCUUGUCUUAUGAAACCACACCUUCAGGGGCAAGUGCUGAACAGGUUAAAUUUUUCAGCAUAAAGCAGUGUCACCACUGAGAAAGUUAAUACCUUGGGAGAUGGUUACCAGUUCUCCUCCGUGAGUCACAAUCACUGAGCUGCUGAUGGCUUUUCGGGCAUGAACCAACAGGGCCCAGCUGGGCCCUCAACAAACCAAAUAACCACAUACCAAAACCACAUCAUCACCGUUGACAAAGUUGUCCUCUGCUGUCAGCCUGGCCCAAGAAACAAUGCUCAACUGGGAGUGCAGUUUCUGUUUCCCAGGGAGCAGAUAAACUCUUGUUGCUGUAGCCCCUGCGCUCCUAUAGCCUGAUUGUGUUUUCCCUUUCACGCUCAAGCCUGUGCCUCCUAGAGCUAUUAGAUUUGGCAGCUUUCAAAGAGCAAAACUCAGCCUCAUUAUACUGUUAGCAAUUUUGAUCCAGGCAGAACAAUAGCUGCCACCUUUCUCCAGCACAUCCCGAAUGCAUCUCUCAUUCUCCUCACUGGAAAGAUUAGCAGUUUGUAUCUCACCUCUUCCUGAGUGUAAGAAUGAGAAUCAUAGGCACCCAUACAGGAAAACACCCAACCUGGGAUAUGCAAGGGAGCGCUGCCUCUCUGCCCCCUCCACUCUGUUCUUGGAGACCUGCUGUGGCUCUGGCAUUCCUAGUUCUCUCCCCCACAACUCUGGGUGCUGAGCAGCACCACAGAUCUUAAAGAGAAAGAUAAUGCUAGUUAAUGCCUCCCCUAACUCUGCUGGAGGGGUUGAAACCCCCCCUCACCUUGACCGCUGAGCAUGAUUAGUAUCAGCGUAUGGUGCACAGUUUAAAAAUAAGUCUGCUUUGCAUUUUGUUUAGAGUUGCUGAGUCAAUGUCUGGAGAAGCAGCCUUAGAUCUCACGUCAGAACGAACCAGGGUAUGAAGAAGGACUUGCUAGGAAGAUCCAAAGGCACCUGACCUGAAAGGUCAUUCCGCUCAACUUUAGCAAAAGGCCUUUAACUUUGGAUACUAUAAACAUAAAUGUGACAACAACUAGUGAUGAAAAAUGUGGGAUCCACACAGCAAUAAAGAUGAUGAAGUCAGUCCAGAGAUGCUGACUUCUUCCAUCACAGA